rnacentral:rRNA from 1 species
GAUGAACGCUGGCGGCGUGCCUAAUACAUGCAAGUCGAGCGAACGGACGAGAAGCUUGCUUCUCUGAUGUUAGCGGCGGACGGGUGAGUAACACGUGGAUAACCUACCUAUAAGACUGGGAUAACUUCGGGAAACCGGAGGUGAUACAGGAUAAUAAUUUGAACCGCAUGGUUCAACAGUGAAAGACGGUCUUGCUGUCACAUAUAGAUGGAACCGCGCUGCAUUAGCGAGUUGGUAAGGUAACGGCUGACCAAGGCAACGAUGCAUAGCCGACCUGAGAGGGUUAUCGGGCACACCUGAACUGAGACACGGUCCAGACUCCUACGGGAGGCAGCAGUGGGGAAUCUUCCGCAAUGCGCGAAAGCCUGACGCAGCAACGCCGCGUGAGUGAUGAAGGUCUUCGGAUCGUAAAACUCUGUUAUUAGGGAAGAACAUAUGUGUAAGUAACUGUGCACAUCUUGACGGUACCUAAUCAGAAAGCCACGGCUAACUACGUG